rnacentral:rRNA from 1 species
AGUUCGGAUUGAAGGCUGAAAUUCGCCUUCAUGAAGCCGGAAUUGCUAGUAAUGGCAGGUCAGCAUACUGCCGUGAAUACGUUCCCGGGCCUUGUACACACCGCCCGUCACACCAUGAGAGUUGGGAAUACCCGAAGCCUGUGAGCUAACGUUAAGAGGCAGCAGUCGAAGGUAGAAUCAAUGAUUGGGGUGAAGUCGUAACAAGGUAGC